rnacentral:rRNA from 1 species
CAGCCGUAAACUAUGCUCGCUAGGUGUCAGGCAUGGCGCGACCGGUGUCGUGGUGCCGCAGGGAAGCCGUGAAGCGAGCCACCUGGGAAGUACGGCCGCAAGGCUGAAACUUAAAGGAAUUGGCGGGGGAGCACAACAACGGGUGGAGCCUGCGGUUUAAUUGGACUCAACGCCGGACAACUCACCGGGAACGACAGCAAUAUGUAGGCCAGGCUGAAGACCUUGCCUGAAUCGCUGAGAGGUGGUGCAUGGCGUAGACGUCU